rnacentral:rRNA from 1 species
AUUGAACGCUGGCGGCAGGCUUAACACAUGCAAGUCGAGCGAGCGGCGGACGGGUGAGUAAUGUCUGGGAAACUGCCUUAUGGAGGGGGAUAACUACUGGAAACGGUAUCUAAUACCUCAUACCAUCAGAUGUGCCCAGAUGGGAUUAGCCAGUAGGUGGGGUAAUGGCUCACCUAGGCGACGAUCCCUACCUGGUCUGAGAGGAUGACCAGCAACACUGGAACAUGGACACGGGCCAGACUCCUACGGGAGGCAGCAGUGGGGAAUAUUGCACAAUGGGCGCAAGCCUGAUGCAGCCAUGCCGCGUGUGUGAAGAAGGCCUUCGGGUUGUAAAGCACUGUCAGCGAGGAGGCGUUACUCGAAGAAGAAGCACCGGCUAACGCCGUGCCAGCCGCCGAGGUAAUUC